rnacentral:miRNA from 1 species
UGAUGGUGUUUAUGACGUCGAUAUUCGACGUCAUAAACACCAAACUUGAUGGUGUUUAUGACGUCGAAUAUCGACGUCAUAAACA